ACCCCUGCGUGGACCCGGGACCGCGGGCCUCGGCCGGGGCGGCGGGAGGGACGCCGGAAGUAGCGGGCAGUGCCGCAGCGCAGGUCACCAGCCGUGUGGUUUCUCCUUCCACAGGAACCCUUCACACGGGGAACGCGUGUGCGUCUGUCCGCUCCUCCGGAAAUGGCCAAGGCUUCACACAGAUGCAGUAAGAUGUGUGAAAGAUUGGUGGAAGACGAGAUGGGAUUGCGAGGUGAGAACCAAGUGAGAAGUGAAACAGAAAGAGAAAGACCAUCAAUCCUUUGAAGAAUUUAACAAGCUUCAGAAAAUUGAGUGAAGUGAAAGUGUGUGGCAG
rnacentral:lncRNA from 1 species